CUUCAGCGAACCCAGCCACAACGGCCGGUCCGCCGACCGGGCCUGUCCGUAGGUGGCGAUCAACGCCUGCGCCUC
rnacentral:antisense_RNA from 1 species